UGGGGGAUAUUGCACAAUGGGCGAAAGCCUGAUGCAGCGACGCCGCGUGGGGGUUGAAGGCUUUCGGGUUGUAAACCUCUUUCGCUAUCGAACAAGGCCCGCUUAGGGUGGGUUGAGGGUAGGUGGAGAAGAAGCGCCGGCUAACUACGUGCCAGCAGCCGCGGUAAUACGUAGGGCGCGAGCGUUGUCCGGAAUUAUUGGGCGUAAAGGGCUUGUAGGCGGCUUGUUGCGCCUGCUGUGAAAACGCGGGGCUUAACUUCGCGCGUGCAGUGGGUACGGGCAGGCUUGAGUGUGGUAGGGGUGACUGGAAUUCCAGGUGUAGCGGUGGAAUGCGCAGAUAUCUGGAGGAACACCGAUGGCGAAGGCAGGUCACUGGGCCAUUACUGACGCUGAGGAGCGAAAGCAUGGGUAGCGAACAGG
rnacentral:rRNA from 1 species